AACGAACGCUGGCGGCAGGCCUAACACAUGCAAGUCGAGCGCUCACUUCGGUGGGAGCGGCGGACGGGCUAGUAACGCGUGGGAAUAUACCCAGUUCUAAGGAAUAGCCAUCGGAAACGAUGAGUAAUACCUUAUACGCCCUUCGGGGGAAAGAUUUAUCGGAAUUGGAUUAGCCCGCGUUAGAUUAGAUAGUUGGUGGGGUAACGGCCUACCAAGUCGACGAUCUAUAGCUGGUUUUAGAGGAUGAUCAGCAACACUGGGACUGAGACACGGCCCAG
rnacentral:rRNA from 1 species